UAUUAUACUAUUUUUUUUUCCGAAAGUACCAUUUAAUUAUUAACUAGUGAAUUACCCGCGCGAUGCUGCGGAUAUAAAUUAUUUUUAUAAUAAAUUAUAUAUUUUUUAAUAUUUUUAUAUAGUUUUAUAAGUCUAAUUAUUAAUUAAAUAAAAAGUUAUAUAAAAAUAAUUAUGCACAAAGUAAAUUUAUACAAUAAUUUAUUUUAUAAAAUUUAUAUGAAAAGAAUUUGAGAUAAAUCUAUCAAAAUAAUUUAAGAAAACCAAUAAAUAAAAGAAAAAUAAAAUUGUAAAAAAAAUUAUUUAAUAAAAUUAAUUAUAUAUAUACAUAUAUACACUAUAUUUCUAAAAUUUUAGUCAUGAAUUUUAAAUUCUAUAUUUUUUUUAUACAGUGAUAUUUUAUGUAAUUUAAAUUGCAUUUAUUAUGGUAGAUUUUAUUACGCGAUUUAUUACGCGUAUUAUUAGAAUUUAGAGAUUUAAAAUUUUAAAGUUUGAAAAGUUUAAAAUUUGAAAAUAAAUAUUAUAAUUUAAAAUAUAAAAUAUUAAAUUUAAAAUUUAAAACUUUAAAAUUUAAAAAUAUCAAAAUUUUAAAUUUUGUAUUAUAUAUAUA
rnacentral:lncRNA from 1 species